rnacentral:lncRNA from 1 species
GAUCAAUCUUGACUUCUGUUAUGAUCACAAUAAUGAUAAAAACCUAUUAAUUUAUUUUGGAUGAGAAGUUCAAUGUCCAAGUUUAAUUUUUAACUUUUGUCAUUUUCUUCCUGUCCAGUGAAUGUUUUUUUUUUGUUUGUUUUGUUUUAUCCCUGCAGUCUCAGCCAGUGCUCUUUUAUGACAUUUGCACCUGGCUAAUGAGUAAGGGUCUAAAAGUUGCACCAAAGUAUUAAAAAAAAAAAAAAAAAAAUUAUAAUUCCUAAUUACCUUUUGUUAUUUUUUCUUCCCUCAAAUAUUAAUUAGAAGUCCGUGAAUGGGUUGGUGCAGUUUUCCCCAAGUAUAAAAGGCUUGCGUGAGGCAGGGUUCGAAUUGCAGUGCGCAGCCAGGGCGGAGACCAAGUCCAGGUUAAUGAACACCACAAGGAAAGAGAUCCCUUCUGCUUUUAAAGAAAAGCACACUUUGGAGUCCUCUUUUGGCUUUGGAACCGAGGAGAAAAGAAUAACCCCCUGCAAUGGAUCUCCGAGGGAACGACAGCCUGGAAACGGCACUGACGGAUAAACAGAUAAAAGCGCUCUCUGUUGUGUAUGUAUCAACACUGUCGCUAAGUGUGCUGGGCAGCUUUUCCGUCAUCCUGGUCUCCAUAUUUAGGAGACAGCACCUCCGCAAACAGCAUCUGACCAGUCAAACUGCUCCCCUCGGUCAGUGCUCCGUGCACGAGAAAGGCGCCACGGCCACAAAAUCACAUUCCUACACUACUGUAGAUGCCAGGUAAAUAAUUGUCUGAGAUGGAGUAAUAGUGGAGUGAAUUCUGUAUUCCGGCGACGCCCAGAAAUGUUGUAUACAUGGGGUCUUUUCCG